rnacentral:rRNA from 1 species
UUGAACGCUGGCGGCAUGCUUUACACAUGCCAGUCGGACGGCAGCGGGGUAGUGCUUGCACUACUGCCGGCGAGUGGCGAACGGGUGAGUAAUAUAUUGGAACGUACCGAGUAAUGGGGGAUAACCAAUCGAAAGAUUGGCUAAUACCGCAUACGCUCUGAGGAGGAAAGCAGGGGACCUUCGGGCCUUGCGUUAUUCGAGCGGCCAAUAUCUGAUUAGCUAGUUGGUGGGGUAAGGGCCUACCAAGGCGACGAUCAGUAGCGGGUCUGAGAGGAUGAUCCGCCACACUGGGACUGAGACACGGCCCAGACUCCUACGGGAGGCAGCAGUGGGGAAUUUUGGACAAUGGGCGCAAGCCUGAUCCAGCCAUGCCGCGUGUCUGAAGAAGGCCUUCGGGUUGUAAAGGACUUUUGUUAGGGAAGAAAAAGGAGCGGUUAAUACCCGUUUCUGCUGACGGUACCUAAAGAAUAAGCACCGGCUAACUACGUG